rnacentral:lncRNA from 1 species
GCUACGCAAAGACAGCAGGAGCCGUGCCUCGAAAAGGCUGAGAUGUCUGAGAAAUAAAGUUGUACGCGGAUUUACGCCUGGGCAGGUUGAAAUGCGUGUGCCAUGACAGAUCCGGAAGCUUGUCUACUCGAAGGUCCACAUCCAGCACCUACCGGGAAAGCGAGAAGAAAGCAAAGGGCAUCACUCCCUACCCACGAAAGACUCACAACAUCCCUGGAAAAGCAACGAGGCGAACGGCUGGUCUGCGUUCAGAGCUGGUGAGGAGCAGGGAGAAGAAUCCAGAGCGUCCCCGCCUCCCUCCCUCACCGCCCUCCCGCACUGAUGUGAACACGGGAGUAACACCGCGCGUGGGGAAUCCACUGGCACCCAGAGCCCGGCCCGCGGCAGCAGAAUCACCCAAGACUGAGAUCCUGUGGCCUGAGUCGGGGCCGGGGAAACCAAGCCUGCAGGACUCCGGGAGCAGCCGGUUUCUGCACACAGGUAACAUAGAACUGGGGGUAAGCAAAGCCACGAGGUCGGCCCGUGGCCUGUCUGCCCGUGGCCUGUCUGCCCGUGGCCUGUCUGCCCGUGGCCUGUCUGCGCACAGCUAUUAAAAGUUCAAUAAACGUGGUGGCAGCAGCUGAACUGGCUACCACAGGACGCAGCUGGGGUCUGGACGUGGGCCUGGGGGCUGGUGGAAGGCACGUGUGUUGAGGCGUGUACUCAGGGCCUGCCUACUUCCCCAGGCCUACGGGGACAGAUGUAGCUCCCCAGGAAAUACCACAGGCAGACCCCGGCCGGCAAGCUGCCCCAAGAAGCAGUGCGCCUCCCAAAAUCAGAAGCAGCUAAGCUGACCCCCACCUCAUGUGAAAGAGCCAGGCACCAGGGAGAGGGCACCCACCCAGUCUCCUAAUCAUAACAGACAUUCACAGCAACACCACGAAAAAGAAACUACUGCUCUGACCUGGAAAAAUGAAAUUUAAAACAGAAAACACACAGGUUGUAACUAAAAGGCAGACGGACCAGGUGCGGUGGUUCAUGCCUGUAAUCCCAACACCUUGGAAGGCCGAGGCAGGCGGAUGACAUGAGGUCAGGAGUUCAAGACCAGCCUGGCCAGCAUGGUGAAACCCCAUCCCUACUAAUAAUACAAAAACUAGCCAGACGUGGUGGCAGGCACCUGUAAUCCCAGCUACUCAGGACUGGGAGGAGGCGCAGGAUGACGACGAGAGAGAGACGAGAGAGGCAGAUGGCCCACGGCAGGCUGAGCACAGGACCUGGCUGAGGCCUCCUGGGGAGGGGCAGAGGCAAACAUGCUGCUGCUUCUAGGCUACUCGGGAGGACGCACGCUCAGAAGGGGCUGCACGGCAGGACUUGCUGAGGAGCAGUCACGUGGAUGCCCCCGCCUCUCACAACGCACACACUGACAACAUGCAACUCACAUACAACACAACAUGCAUGUACAAUGUACUCAUACAACAUAUACAACACUGACAACACACAACACACACAACACAUGCAACCUAUACAACACAUACCCAAUAUAUGCUACUCACAACACAAUAUGCAUUUAUAACACACUCAUACAACACAUACCCAAUGCAUGCAACUCACAACACAACACGUACGUACAACACAUACACACAUACAGCACACGUAACACAUACAACACAACACACAUGUACAAUGCACUCAUACAGCACACACAACUCAUAACAUGCACAUACAACACACAACACUCAUACAAAACAACAUACACAACUCACAACAUGCACAUACAAUGCACUCAUACAACACAACACAUACAACAUACAUGCAACUCACAACAUACACAUACAACACACUCAUACAGCACAUGUACAACACAUGCAACUCACAUUCAACACGACAUACACGUACCACACACAACACACGCAACUCACAACACAACAUGCAUGUACAACACUCAUACAACACAACACUCAUACAACAUACAGACAACACAUGCAACUCACAACACAACAUACACAUACAACACACUCAUACAACACACACAACACAUGCAACUCACGCACAACACAACAUGCACAACACAACAUACAACAUAUACAACACAACACUCAUACAACAUAUAUGUGUAUUGCAUACACAUAAUACAUGCAACUCACAACACAACAUACACAUACAACACACUCAUACAACACAUGCAACUCACAACACAAUAUGCACGUACAACACACUCAUACAACAUACAACAUAUAACACAUACAACAUACAACACAUGCAACUCAACACAAAUACAUGUACAAGGCACUCACACAACACACAACACUGAUACAACAUACAACACAUGGAACUCACAAACACGUACAGCACACUCAUACAACAUACAACCCAUACAACAUACAAUACAUGCAACUCAUACAACAUACACAUACAACACUCAUACAACACACAUUCAUACAACACAACACUCAUACAACAUACAAAACAUACAACUCACAAAUACAUGUACAACACACUCAUACAACACAUAACACUCAAACAUACAAUGAAUGCAACUCAACACAACAUGCACAUACAACACACAUACAACCCAUGCCACUCACAUACAACACAACACGCUCAUACAACACAUUCAUACAACACAUACUGUACAGAUUCUAAGUAUGAAAUAGAAAACAGCACAUGCACAGUUUCUAAAGUAUGACAAAAGCUUUUUUCAAGAAGGUCAUCCAACAUCCAAACUGGUAACAUGUCCUCAUUUUCAGCUGCUGUUCAGAUUCAAGCAUGUUUAUCAUCUGCUCCAUGAAUUACAAUAAUAUAGCAUAAACCCUUUUUUCAUUUUACACCCACUUUGGUGUGGGGUGCUCCAAAACAGGGGCCAGGAGCCUCAGUCAUCCCUCGGAACAAAACACAACUCACACUCAGAGGCCAGGAAGGGAACUCGGGGGGCGACACACACUCUCUCAUCUGCAGAGCUCUGCUUCAAUUACUUUACAUGUAACCGCGGCUGGAACGGGGUUGGUGACGGUACAGACACGGCAAACUGAGGAGAAAUUGGCAGGUGGAGAAAGAUCAGCCAGAAUCCAAGGAAAAAUGCUGAGCAUUUUCCACAAAUAGUUCACACAACGGACAAUAGUUGGGCUACUGAAAGUUUAUUGAGAGGGGUCUUGCUCCAAAGAAAAAGUUCUUUCCCAAGGUUAUCAAAGACUCACAGCAGACCCCGGCCCCCAACACACCAUCUGCAGAGGGCCUGUUAGUCAAAAAGAAGACAAGACAGAAGCAAGGGGGUGCGGGGGGAGGAGAGCAAGAGGGGACCGAGAACUCGGAACCAAGUGAUGGGCAGACACUGAAUGCCUGACUCCAGGGUUAUCGCCUCAGAAAACAAGUCCGUUUAAGCCCGUGGUAACAGUGUUAGCGCUUUCACUGAACCUGCACUCAACACUGGAGAACCUCCCUGCAUUAUGAAGAUGAGCCGAAAAAUAACAUUAAUUCACAA